AAUAGACCGCUGUCACCAUGGUCUCGGAGAUUAUACUAGAUAAGAUCAAGUGAGUACAUCAAUCCAAUACAUAGAAGAAGGGAAACAUCAUGUGAACAACCUAGAUUAACAUAGCCUAUGAUCACAAUCAAGAUCACAUCAUGGAGAGAGAGAUAACCACAUAGCUACACGUAGAGCCCUCAGCCCUGAGGGAGACUACUCACACAUGGCCAUGGUGAGAAAGAGGUUGAUGGAGAGGUGCAGCCCGGAGAGGAGACAGCGACGACCACGGCCCUUGGGGGCGGCGGCCCUUGGGCCCCUUCUUCCUUGGAGAUGGUGCUGGUAUGGAGGUGGUUCUCCACCCAAUGCGGCUGUCUCGGAGGAGGAAAUUUCGUGGCUCUU
rnacentral:lncRNA from 1 species